GAAAGAGUCAAGUGACUUCAUGGAUAUGUUGCAUAUACUUUUGUGUGAUGGAGGAAUUGCUAGUUGCAACUUUCCUUAUACAUAACAAGUACUAAUUUGAUCUUGUAAUGUGUUCUGCUCGGAGUGGAUGCUGAGAGAAAAGGAGACUUUCUCCAUCUUGCUAGCUUUUUAUACUGAAUUUGGCAGUAAUAGGUUGUGCUAGGUGGUCUUCACGUGCUGAGCAUGUAGACUUACUUAGGUAUAUGCACACUGGUUACCUCUUUCAAUCUUUAACUCAGUAGAACAGAGGUAAAGGGCUAAUUAUGGCUACAAUAUAUUUAUUAGUCUAUUUAUAAGAAUUUACUUAAUUCCUUACUGCUAUUCCUAUCCUGUCCCACUUCAUUAUAUAAAAAAAACUCUUUAGAGUUUGGUUUUGGUUUGGGGUUUAUUUUAUUUUUCUUUUCCUCUGCACAGAGAUGCUGGAAUUCUUCUCUUGGCUGUUCCACAUUAGGAGUUUUGGCUGAGUUUCCCAUUAGCUUUUAUUACUUUCUUUUAGAUUAGCAGUACUGUGCCUUAUAGUAAAACACUUAAGACAUGUGAAGCGUCUGAGAGUGAAUAUAAAGCCUGGCAUCUCCCAUUAUGACUUCUUGUUCAAACAUUUAUAUACUGUACAUGGUACAAGGAAUUGCUAAACUGUUUUGUAAAGAAAUAUGUAUAUUUAAAACACUACUUAACAGUGUUAAGUGACUUGUUUAGGAUUUUAGCAUUGUGAUGUUACAAAUACUAUGCUACAUUCCUCAGUUUCCUUUUGUAAAGCCGUUACUACCAGGUUGCUUAAAACAGUGUCUUUUACUAGACAUUGGUUUGAGAGUGUGUUUUGGUUUUAAAAUGUAUAUUUGGAAUGUUUUUAAGAAAAUAUGCAAUUCUUUCUAACUUAUUUGAACUUCAAUAGAAGCAGUAACUUUUUUUUUUUAAUUUUAGAAUGAAUGUUCUAGAAAUGACAGACGUUUCAGCUGGGAAAUGUGUAAUCCCAACUUCUACAUUGCAGAGCAGAUCUUUCACCCUAAAUUUCCUUCCUAAAAAUUCCUAUUAAUGCCUACUUUAAAAAAAAGGUUAAUCUGCCUCUUCCCUGUAGGAGUGUUAACUUUUAUAGUUAUGUUUACUGGAAGAUUGUGAAGUGGUAGUUCUGAUGUCACCAGCAGGUGCAAGUUUUUUGCCUUUAUCAUACAAGAAGCACACGAGGAUGGAAUGUGACUGACCAGCCAUCUCCAAAACGGAACAGAUGAGAAAACCCAACCUGCAACUACGCCAAUCAAUGUAUAGGGACGUUUCUGUCUCCAGCAGAAGCUUAUCAGCAUUUACAGAACUGCCUUUUAACUAUCUCUUCAAUAUUAAAAACUAAGUCUUCUCCCUCUUCCUUAACACAAAACUGAACACGAUGUAGUGAACGCUGAGAGGGUUUUAAACUGUAGCUCAAGAAGGAACCAAAAGGCAUUAUCAAGAGAAGUCUUGUCGGUCUGUGGAUUGUCUUGCUAAUACCUGCAGCGCAAUAUUCUUGCGAGAGAGGAGAAACGUGGUGAUGUGAAGAUUUGGGAAUUGGAAUUGUAGAUUAAACAUGCACAAAUCAAGCCAAAGGCUUUUAUUUCUGUUCAGUUUGGGUCCUGAUUUCUCUCCUCAGCUAUCCUGUUGUAUUGCAAAACUUGGUUUCAGAAAGUUUAAAAAAGUAGAUGAUUUCUAUAACUGCAUGUGUUUGUGUGAAGAAUGCACUGCCUGGAAACUGUCCAUUAUACUUCCAUGGGACCUGAAGCUACUUUGCACCAUCUGAAACAUGGUAUUGAUACUGCAUUUUUCAAUGAGCAGAUCCUUAAUUCAGAAGAGCAAAAUAAUUUGAGUUUCCAUCAUUUCAUUAGUCUGAAGCUUAAGUCCAAAACCUUGAAGCCAGUUACUUUUCCUGUAAACAUAACUGCAGAGAACCAUUUGAACUUGCUAGUUUGUCAACAGCUAUUCACAACUGACUGUCUUUUAUGAUAACUGUGUACUGACUUGGUUGCAUUGUUUGGAUUAAGCACUGGACUAUGUCUUUUCCAUUGUAUAUGUACAACUGCAAGAAUGUUGAGUUAUGCAUUGUUGUACCUUAAUGGCUAUAAAAGCUCAAAUUCCAUAAUAAAUUAUACAGACCUUUUAAAAAGCAA